rfam:Linderina pennispora strain ATCC 12442 DL89scaffold_129, whole genome shotgun sequence.
GGCUCUAUGGUCUAGAGGUAUGAUUCUUGCUUUGGGUGCAAGAGGUCCCGAGUUCGAUCCCCGGUGGAGCCC